CACGAAACUAUGUGAGCUAAUUUUGUUAAAUUACCAUGUAACAUAAUGGUACGAUCAAGGAAAAUUAGGAGUGAUAGGCUUUACAAGCAUAGUGAUAUCUUGAUUUCUCCGAAAUGUAAUAGUACAAUCACGGAUUUAAAGCUAUAAGGUUUUAAAUAUUAAUCAAUUUUGGUAAAUUGAUAGUGAGAUAUAAAAGUCUACACGUUGAUAAUGAUAAUAUACAUGUCAUAGAGUUAUUAAUAAUAGGGGAAUAUAUAAAAACUAAUUCUAUAUAAAUAAUGUUACUAUUAGUAUUUAGUAGGUGCAAAUAGUGAACUCGGCAUUAAGUUUUCAACUGUUUAUCAAAAACAUAGCUGCGUGCAACCACACGCGGUAUUUUCUGCUCAAUGAAUAUUAAAUAGCCGCAGUACCUUGACUGUGCAAAGGUAGCGUAAUCAUUUGUCUUUUAAUUGGAGUCACGUAUGAACGAAUACAUGGGGACUUUCUUUACCAUUUGCAAUAUAGGAAAUUAAUCAAUGAGUGAAAAAGCUCAUAUUAAAAUAAUAGACGAGAAGACCCUAGAAAUUUAUAUAGACGUUUUGUUGGGGCAACAUAGUAACAUGGAAUUUACUGUAUGUAUAUGAAAUAAAUUAGUUAACUUAAAUUACUCUAGGGAUAACAGCAUAAUAUUGUAAUGUUUGUGACCUCGAUGUUGGAUUAGGGAGUUAUAGUUUAGAA
rnacentral:rRNA from 1 species